CCAAAGUGUCCUGAUCUGACCCACAGAUGGGAGGAUGGAAAGAAGAAAACCAACUCAGGCAAAUGUUUGAACUGUGAACAUUUACUCCAUGCGAGGCUCUGUUCCCUCUGUUCUCAGGGCAGGUUCAUACCUUUCCACUGCACCAUUUUGCUCAGUCCUACUUCUGACCCAUAUGUUUUGUGUGGCUGGAGUUACAGCACCUAACUUCAAGAGUUGAGAGAAACUAAUUGGUCUGCAAAGAUAUCAGAUCCACUGAGUGACUUUCAUCUUCAACAACCUAAUUAAUGAAUAUUCCCUUCUCUACUGACUUGAAAGAAAGAGUGGGACUGAAUCAAAUUGGAAUUAUUCUGCAUGGAUGGAGAAGACGGUAGUCUGAAAAGUCUGCUUUGAUUAGCCACUCAGCAAAAUCCUUUUUCUUAUUUUGCCUAAUCAAGGAGUCACUGACUUCUUCACAGCUUGGGUAAGAACUACUGUGUUUUAAUUGAGCAGUGGAAGGAAACUGCAAAGAAAAAACACAG